GGCUUUAGGGUUAGAUCAGUCGCGUAUUUUUCUUUUUCUUAUUAUUCUUCUUGCGACGUUGCUGCUGCUUGUCGAGUGCGUCUCGUCAGACGCGAGGAUCGCCCAGAUUCGUUUUCCUCCUUCCGUCUUCGCCUCUUCAAAGCUCUUAUAUUAUAUGCGUGUAUAUUGGGAUUUUUAUAUCAAUUCUAACCCGUGCCUGUGAAUGGAUGGAUAUCACCAUUUAAAAUACACGAGUUUCGGACACACUCUCAGCAUAUAUUUUAUUGCAAGCGUGACGAUGUUCGAAUCCAUCUGUAACUGCGAAGAUUCAAAUUAAGAGACGAUGAUCGCUCAGUCUCAACGACUUGACCCUUAGCUAGUUGGCGUGUGAGACCGAAGAAGGGAGGCGGAGGUGAUAAAGAGAGAUGAAAUAGACGGAUCGGACGGAAGUCAACGACCCGGGGUGGCGGCGCGAAGCUGUGAUUCUAUAAAGGUAGCUGCGUCAAGACGAAAAGGCGAAAAGACGAGGCGACGAGGAGACGAACCUGCUUGCCGAAGAGGAAGAAAAAACGCUUCGACGAAACGAAAUUAGCGAAAGCGAUCCGAAGGUUUUCGAAACGAGGAAGGUACGAGAGCCCGGAUCGAUAUCUCGGACUUGAUUUCUUUUUUUAACACGUUAUAGCGGACUAAAACUAAGCAACGCAAUUUUUUUAUCCUUUACAUCGGCAUCGUAACGUUAGCAAAACAGUUAUUGUGCAAUUUUAAAAGAAGUUGACUCUUCAAAAUAUGUAUAAACAUGUUUGUUUCUUUGUUAUUAUUUACUAUCUCAACAUUGUACGUGCAGUU
rnacentral:lncRNA from 1 species